rnacentral:lncRNA from 1 species
ACACACAGGUCGCAGCCCCUGCCGCGGAGGAUCCCCAGGAAGAUGCUGGGGACGCUCUGAGCAUCGGCCUUUCUUUACCCCCGACUCCCUGGAGCUUGGUCUCGGGAUGCCAACUUGGGGCACGGAGGCGACGGGCUGCUCCGAAGCUGGAGGGUUUCUGCUUGGGUCAGAGGGAUCACGACCUCAGCAGAGCCAGGAGAGGUUGGGUGACACCCACUGCGUAUUGCACUUGACUCAAAACUGCCCUCGGCCUGCGGAAGAGGCGAGGGCAAGAAGCCUGGUGGCGGGUCAAACCUUCACCCUAUUAUUUUCUAUCAUUUUUUAUGCCCAUAUAUUUGUUAAAUGUAUGGCUGCUAUACACCAACAGCUUAUUCUACAAGAAGUGCCCCCGAGGAGGAUUGGGUUAAGCUUUGCAAAUUUGGCUUCCCAGGUAAUGCGCUUCAUUAUUCUGCUCCCGACUUACCCACCACACCAGUGGGUACCCGGAGCAGCACCCACUUGGCAGAACUGAUGACUGCUUGGGCCCAGCGGAGUGCGCAUUGCGCUAACACGCGCACGGGAAUUGCACCCUUGCCGGAGCCUCCGCACCGUGCGCCCUUCAAAGAGCUGGCGACCCCGCUCACGUACAACAUCACUCAAACAACCCUAUUACUUCAGUAGCAAUGAACUGUCUCUGGAUUUUAUUAAGCAUCUCACUAGUUCCUUUUCUUCAGCUGUAUGGCACCCUGUCUUCCUGUACACCAGAGGCUCCUCAGCUGGGUAAGGUGAGCCAACGUUACCAGGAGUAUAUGCUGAGAGGCCAUUUCAAAGUCUUUCAUAGAAGGCUGUGCUUGGGCAAGUAGAACUUUUCAUCAUACAGUCCCAGAGAUGUGAAGUUAUCAAGGUCAGAGAAGAGGAAAAGAGACUCAGAGAAACUGUGUUCUCUAGUCUUUCAUUCGGGAACAAAUGGUGUCGUACCAAAUGGCUGAAAAGAUCCCAGGCUUACUCUGAGAAACAUCUCUCUCUUCUGAAUUAAACUUGCACAGUGGCUAACAGUGUUUUGUUUGGUGUUGACAAAGUAAUAAAACGUUACCGUUUCUCUUUCUCUACGAUGAUGUGGUUUUAUGAAAGAAAAUGGUUACACCUUGUUGAGUUGGGCAAUAUUCUCCAUCCAGUUUAUAAAUUCCUAUGCUGUUCUUACUGUAGUCAGCUUUUUCU